AGAGUUUGAUCAUGGCUCAGGAUGAACGCUAGCUACAGGCUUAACACAUGCAAGUCGAGGGGCAGCAUGUUGGUUGCUUUGCAACCAAUGAUGGCGACCGGCGCACGGGUGAGUAACGCGUAUCCAACCUACCCUUGUCCAUCGGAUAACCCGUCGAAAGGCGGCCUAACACGAUAUGCGGUUCACAGCAGGCAUCUAAGGUGAACGAAAUGUGAAGGAGAAGGAUGGGGAUGCGUCUGAUUAGCUUGUUGGCGGGUAACGCCACAAGGCUACGAUCGAGUAGGGGUUCUGAGACGGAAGGUCCCCCAGAUUGGAACUGAGACACGGUCCAAACGUCCUACGGGAGCA
rnacentral:rRNA from 1 species